GGGUUGUGAGGUUAAGCGACUAAGCGUACACGGUGGAUGCCCUGGCAGUCAGAGGCGAUGAAGGACGUGCUAAUCUGCGAUAAGCGUCGGUAAGGUGAUAUGAACCGUUAUAACCGGCGAUUUCCGAAUGGGGAAACCCAGUGUGAUUCGUCACACUAUCAUUAACUGAAUCCAUAGGUUAAUGAGGCGAACCGGGGGAACUGAAACAUCUAAGUACCCCGAGGAAAAGAAAUCAACCGAGAUUCCCCCAGUAGCGGCGAGCGA
rnacentral:rRNA from 1 species